GAUGAACGCUGGCGGCGUGCUUAACACAUGCAAGUCGAGCGGAUCUCUAUAAAGCUUUGCUUUAUAGGAGUUAGCGGCGGACGGGUGAGUAACGCGUGGGUAAUCUGCCCUAUACUGGGGAAUAACAGAGAGAAAUCUCUGCUAAAACCGCAUAAGCUGUUCUGGUCGCAUGGCUAGAAGAGGGAAUGGAUUAACAGGUAAAGGAAGAGCCCGCGUCUGAUUAGCUAGUUGGUGGGGUAAAGGCCUACCAAGGCGACGAUCAGUAGCCGAUCUGAGAGGAUGACCGGCCACAUUGGGACUGAGACACGGCCCAAACUCCUACGGGAGGCAGCAGUGGGGAAUAUUGCACAAUGGAGGAAACUCUGAUGCAGCAACGCCGCGUGAAGGAAGAAGGCUUUCGGGUCGUAAACUUCUAUCAAUAGGGAUAAAUAAUGAUAGUACCUAAAUAAGAAGCACCGGCUAACUACGUGCCAGCAGCCGCAGUAAAAC
rnacentral:rRNA from 1 species